CCCUUAGAUGUCCUGGGCUGCACGCGUGCUACAAUGAUACGUGCAACGAGUUAAUCCUGCUCUGAAAGGAGUGGGUAAUCUUAUGAAUGCGUAUCGUGCUUGGGAUUGACCAUUGUAAUUAUUGGUCAUGAACGAGGAAUUCCUAGUAAGCACAAGUCAUCAGCUUGUGCUGAUUACGUCCCUGCCCUUUGUACACACCGCCCGUCGCUCCUACCGAUUGAAUGCUCAGGUGAGCCAUUCGGACUUUCAUCAUGCUGGUUUCCAGUUUUGAUGAAGGAAAGUCUUGCGAACCUUAUCAUUUAGAGGAAGGAGAAGUCGUAACA
rnacentral:rRNA from 1 species